UACGUAGGGGCCAAGCGUUGUCCGGAUUUAUUGGGCGUAAAGAGCUCGUAGGCGGUUCGGUAAGUCGGGUGUGAAACCUCCAGGCUCAACCUGGAGACGCCACCCGAUACUGCUGUGACUGGAGUCCGGUAGGGGAGCGUGGAAGUUCCUGGUGUAGCGGUGAAAUGCGUAGAUAUCAGGAGGAACACCGGUGGUGUAGACGGCUUUCUGGACCGUAACUGACGCUGAGACACGAAAGCGUGGGUAGCAAACAGG
rnacentral:rRNA from 1 species